rnacentral:rRNA from 1 species
ACAGAGGUCCCAAGCGUUGUUCGGAUUCACUGGGCGUAAAGGGUGCGUAGGCGGCCGGGUAAGUCUGAUGUGAAAUCUCACAGCUUAACUGUGAAACUGCAUUGGAUACUAUCCGGCUCGAGGAAUGGAGGGGAGACUGGAAUACUUGGUGUAGCAGUGAAGUGCGUAGAUAUCAAGUGGAACACCAGUGGCGAAGGCGAGUCUCUGGACAUUUCCUGACGCUGAGGCACGAAAGCCAGGGGAGCAAACGGG